rnacentral:SRP_RNA from 1 species
CGGCCGGGUCCGUUCGGCGGGCGGCCCGUGAACCUGGUCAGGGCUUGACCGCAGCAGCCAUAAGCGGCGCAGUCCGAGCGUGCGGGUGCCUGGCCGUCU